rnacentral:rRNA from 1 species
GACGAACGCUGGCGGCGUGCCUAAUACAUGCAAGUCGAACGCAGUGGGGACGGGUGAGUAACACGUGGGUAACCUCCCAUCAGAGGGGAUAACACUUGGAAACAGGUGCUAAACCGAUACUGAUGGAUGGACCCGCGGUGCAUUAGCUGGUUGGUGAGUCAACGGCUCACCCAGGCCACGAUGCAUAGCCGACCUGGUAAGGUGAUCGGCCACACUGGGACUGAGACACGGCCCAGAAUCCUAGGUGAGGCAGCAGUAGGGAAUCUGCGGCAAUGGUCGAAAGUCUGACCGAGAAACGCCGCGUCAGUUAAGAAGUUUUUCGGAUCGUAAAACUCUGUUGUUAUAGAAGCGGUAUCUAACCAGAAAGCCACGGCUAACUACGUGCCAGCAGCCGCGGUAAUUC